CAACAUGAUUGCUGGUCCCGGUGGUGGUUUUCCCAUGUGUAAGACUAUGUGUUAUGUCCUGCUGAGAAUCCUUCCCUAAAGAGGAACUGGAAUGAAAUUAAUAACCUGGCCUGUUGAAAGGCAAAAAGAAGAAAAAAAAGUAACCCACCAACUUAAUGGCAAAGCACCUGCUGUCUGGAGUCAGCUAUAACCUGUGGUGACCUUACAAGGACUUAUGGAGAGAGCACACUACAGUGCAGGAUUUAUUCUUCAUUAAUCACCUAGGCACACAGGGUGCUGUACAAAAAUAAACAAAAUCAAGGCAAAAGAAAGCAUUCUGGGCUUUUAUUUCAAGUUAACCAGACACAGAGACCUCCCAAAUGUGUACUGAAAAUCACUUCUGGUUAAAUGGCUCCCAGAGUCCACUGCUGAGACUCACCAUAGGCAUACAUUCCAGAGCUCAAAGUACCUGGAGGGUGGAGGGAGUAGCCAACUCCUACUAGGAGAGACUGGGUGGAGCUGGAACUGGGGAGCUUUCCUGCAAGGACCAGGACAUUUCUCUCCUGCACUUCCCCCUUCAAUUGUGGCUUUGGAGGCUGCAGAGAGACUCAGACUUUGGGAGAAGAUGAGAGCUUGGGAAGAUCUUCUGGAAACUACAUUUUCUCUUCAUUAUUAAAUUUCCCAAACUGAUGAAUGCCGGAGGUCUUCUCACUUGUAGGUGCAUGGCCAUGAUUCUCUACCUCGGUCAUUAAACUUUUUUAAAGCUGUGAAAUAUCCAUGAUGCUGACUAUUACUGUCUUUAGGAUUUGGGACCUCCCUGUGCCUCAGUUCCCUCAUCUGUAAAAUAGUAGGAUUGGAUUAGAUGGCCUCUGGAGGGAGAAGCUGUAACAUGUUGCUAGUGUUUAUAUAGAGCUUCUUGUGAGAGGCACAGAGAUGAUAGCUGCUCAUCCUUGUGCAGAGAUUUUAAGGUCUUAAAAAGAGGCUGAGUUUGGUAUAUAUAUAUAUGUCAGUUACUUGUUCUGGAUUACAGUAUGAUUUCUUACUGUCUUUUGAUAUUUGUGUGUGUGUGUUAGAAAUUCUGAUAGCUUCAAAUAAAGGCUGGGAUUUUUUCCAAGAGUGGUCUUUCUAUCUUAUCUGGGUCUAAGAUGCCAUGGGUCAAGAAGCAGCUAGGUAGUUCAGGCCUGGAGAUGGGAGGUCCUGGAUUCAAAUCUGACCUCAGAUACUUCCUAGUACUGUGACCCUGGGCAAGUCACUUAACCCAAUUGCCUACCUAGCCCUUAUUGCUCUUUUUUUU